rnacentral:rRNA from 1 species
UGGGGAAUAUUGCACAAUGGGCGCAAGCCUGAUGCAGCCAUGCCGCGUGUAUGAAGAAGGCCUUCGGGUUGUAAAGUACUUUCAGCGGGGAGGAAGGCGAUAAGGUUAAUAACCUUGUCGAUUGACGUUACCCGCAGAAGAAGCACCGGCUAACUCCGUGCCAGCAGCCGCGGUAAUACGGAGGGUGUAAGCGUUAAUCGGAAUUACUGGGCGUAAAGCGCACGCAGGCGGUCUGUCAAGUCGGAUGUGAAAUCCCCGGGCUCAACCUGGGAACUGCAUUCGAAACUGGCAGGCUAGAGUCUUGUAGAGGGGGGUAGAAUUCCAGGUGUAGCGGUGAAAUGCGUAGAGAUCUGGAGGAAUACCGGUGGCGAAGGCGGCCCCCUGGACAAAGACUGACGCUCAGGUGCGAAAGCGUGGGGAGCAAACA